rnacentral:piRNA from 1 species
UGUCGUCAAUAAAGUUUACUGCAAAGUU